UAAGCGAAUAGUGAAAUCUUGUGGCUCAACCAUAAGGCUAUUAUUCGAACUGGCAAACUCGAGAAUGGAAGAGAUAUCUGGAAUUCCCAGUGUAGGAGUGAAAUCCGUAGAUAUUGGGAGGAACACCAAUGGCGUAGGCAGGAUAUUGGUCCAUUUCUGACGCUAAGGCACGAAAGCGUGGGGAGCGAACGGGAUUAGAUACCCCGGUAGUCCACGCCGUAAACUAUGAAUACUA
rnacentral:rRNA from 1 species